GAUUAUUUAGUUUAAUAAAAACAGAUGUUUUGAAAGCAUUAAAUAAGAACAAGUUUCUUAAUAAUCG
rnacentral:tRNA from 1 species